rnacentral:tRNA from 1 species
GUCCCUGUAGCUUAAACAAAGCAUGGCACUGAAGAUGCCAAGAUGGACGCCACAAGCCCCCAAGGACA